rnacentral:rRNA from 1 species
AUUGGGCGUAAAGAGGGCGCAGGCGGCCUUUUAAGUCGAGUGUAAAAUUUCCCGGCUUAACCGGGAGGGAUCAUUCGAUACUGUUAGGCUAGAGGACAACAGAGGAAGGUAGAAUUCCCGGUGUAGUGGUGAAAUGCGUAGAUAUCGGGAGGAACACCAGUGGCGAAGGCGGCAUCCUGGGCUCUACCUGACGCUGAGGCGCAAAAGCGUGGGGAGCAAACCGGAUUAGAUACCCGGGUAGUCCACGCCCUAAACUUUGGGUACUAGGUAUGGGGGGUAUCGACCCCUCCCGUGCCGGAGCUAACGCGUUAAGUACCCCGCCUGGGAACUACGGCCGCAAGGCUAAAACUCAAAGGAAUUGACGGGGGCCCGCACAAGCAGUGGAGCGUGUGGUUUAAUUCGAUGCAAAACGAAGAACCUUACCAGGGCUUGAACGGUGGGAAGUAGAAACCUGAAAGGGAGACGACCUGUCAAGUCAGGAGCCUGCCGAGGUGCUGCAUGGCUGUCGUCAGCUCGUGCCGUGAGGUGUUGGGUUAAGUCCCGCAACGAGCGCAACCCGCGUCGCUAGUUGGGUUAUCUAGCGAGACCGCUGCGCACAACGCAGAGGAAGGUGCGGAUGACGUCAAGUCAUCAUGGCCCUUACGUCCUGGGCUACACACACGCUACAAUGGCCGGUACAAAGGGAUGCCAAGGCGCGAGCCGGAGCCAAUCCCAAAAAACCGGCCCCAGUUGGGAUUGCAGGCUGAAACCUGCCUGCAUGAACGCGGAAUUGCUAGUAACCGCAGGUCAGCAUACUGCGGUGAAUACGUUCCCGGGCCUUGUACACACCGCCCGUCACGUCAUGGAAGCCUGUAACAUCUGAAGUCCGUACGCCAACCCGCAAGGGAGGCAGCGGCCGAGGGUGGGACCGGUAACUGGGACGAAGUCGUAACAAGGUAGCUGUAGCGGAAGCUGCGGCUGGAUCACCUCCUUU